ACUCCAGACUCCUACGGGAGGCAGCAGUGGGGAAUAUUGCACAAUGGGGGAAACCCUGAUGCAGCGACGCCGCGUGAGCGAUGAAGUAUUUCGGUAUGUAAAGCUCUAUCAGCAGGGAAGAAAAUGACGGUACCUGACUAAGAAGCCCCGGCUAACUACGUGCCAGCAGCCGCGGUAAUACGUAGGGGGCAAGCGUUAUCCGGAUUUACUGGGUGUAAAGGGAGCGUAGACGGUCCUGCAAGCCAGAUGUGAAAGCCCGGGGCUCAACCCCGGGACUGCAUUUGGAACUGUAAGGCUGGAGUGUCGGAGAGGCAGGCGGAAUUCCUGGUGUAGCGGUGAAAUGCGUAGAUAUCAGGAGGAACACCGGUGGCGAAGGCGGCCUGCUGGACUGCAACUGACGUUGAGGCCCGAAAGCGUGGGGAGCAAACAGGAUUAGAUACCCGCGUAU
rnacentral:rRNA from 1 species